GUAUUGUCUGGGGGAAUGCUGCGUGACCCGAACAGCCAGCACAGAAUGUCUAGGUUCUUUCAUCCCGUGUGGCCGGGCUGCAGCUGGGUCACCUUUGCUAUGUAUGUCCAGGGAGAGUGUGACUUCCACUGGUUACCCAGCACAAGGUCUAUGAAAUGAGACUUCACAACACAAGUGGCUGGACAAUGUUUAAAAAGAAAAAAAAGAAAAAAAGAAAAAAGAAAGAAAAAAGAGAAGAAAGCAAUGUACAGAUUACAUUAUUUUGGCACUGGAACAGAAAUACCCCAAACUAAACCCCAGAAUGAAAGCAAGGCAACUCCCCUUGGCCCUGCCCAUCCUUCCCCCUGCCCUCCUGCCCACUCUACCUACAAGAAGACGGAAGGAGACAGUUUUUGAAAGCACCCAGCUGUAAUUGGUGAGCACGCUUGUCCAGGGAGCCAUCCCAUGGCACAGAAUGGGCUUCAGCUCCUCUCCAUCUGGCACAGGAC
ensembl:lncRNA